UGAAUCAGCGCUGAUUUCCUACCUCCUGCCACGAGGUAGUCACUCUGCUCGUUCUUCGCGGCGUCUCACGUGAUCUGACCAGAGAGUGGUUUGCUGGUCGGUGAUGGUAUCCACCUGCGCCGAUCGAAGUAGCGGAAGUUGAUGUAGCAGAG